UAGUUAUACUCAUUUGGUUUUAAUUGACUUAUUUUAUAAAAAAAUAAAAGAUGUGGCUCACAGGACAUGACAUUUCAUACUUUGUUUUUUUUCCGAUGGCGGCCUCUGAAACUUCCUUGAUGAGGUUCCAACCACAACCUUUAAACUGCAUCAAGCAAUGCAUGGCAAAUGAGCCAACCUUCACCAUGGCAAUCCUAAGAUGAUUUUUUUUUGAGAAAUACUUUGUGCAUCAC
rnacentral:lncRNA from 1 species